GCAGAGCUCCUCCACUCAUGAUUUCUACAGAGCCGUGAUUUCUGGUCUGUGCAGGAAAGGAAACACAUUUGCAGCAUUUCAGCUUUUGUAUGAAAUGACAGCCCAUGGAUUCAAUCCCGACUCUUACACCUAUUCAUCGUUGAUCAGAGGAUUGUGCUUGGAGAAGAUGUUGGUUGCUGCUGUUGAUGUAUUUUAUGUCAUGGAGGAAAAUGGAUAUAGGCCUGAUGUUGACAAUUUCAAUGCACUUGUGCUUGGUCUAUGUUGUGUAGGAAAGGAAACACAUUUGCAGCGUUUCAGCUUUUGUAUGAAAUGACUGCCCAUGGAUUCAAUCCUGACUCUUACACCUAUUCAUCGUUGAUCAGAGGAUUGUGCUUGGAGAAGAUGUUGGUUGCUGCUGUUGAUGUAUUUUACAUCAUGGAAGAAAAUGGAUAUAGGCCUGAUGUUGACAAUUUCAAUGCACUUGUGCUUGGUCUAUGCAAAUC
rnacentral:lncRNA from 1 species